rnacentral:rRNA from 1 species
UACGUAGGUGGCAAGCGUUGUCCGGAUUUCCUGGGCGUAAAGAGCGCGCAGGCGGUCAGAUAAGUCGAAUGUGAAAGCCCCCGGCUCAACUGGGGAGGGUCAUUCGAUACUGUUCGACUCGAAGGCAGGAGAGGGAAGCGGAAUUCCCGGUGUAGUGGUGAAAUGCGUAGAUAUCGGGAGGAACACCAGUGGCGAAGGCGGCUUCCUGGCCUGUUCUUGACGCUGAGGCGCGAAAGCUAGGGGAGCAAACGGG